UAUGUCCGCUAGGGGAGCUUUUGCUGAGAGUGUGGUUUAAGCCACAGACCCUUGGAACCUGUGUAGUUAAUCCUAACGAAGGGAAGCGGUUUCGGUUAAGU
rnacentral:ncRNA from 2 species